AGUGAACGCUGGCGGUAGGCCUAACACAUGCAAGUCGAACGGCAGCACAGUAAGAGCUUGCUCUUACGGGUGGCGAGUGGCGGACGGGUGAGGAAUACAUCGGAAUCUACUUUUUCGUGGGGGAUAACGUAGGGAAACUUACGCUAAUACCGCAUACGACCUACGGGUGAAAGCAGGGGAUCUUCGGACCUUGCGCGAUUGAAUGAGCCGAUGUCGGAUUAGCUAGUUGGCGGGGUAAAGGCCCACCAAGGCGACGAUCCGUAGCUGGUCUGAGAGGAUGAUCAGCCACACUGGACCUGAGACACGGUCCAGACUCCUACGGGAGGCAGCAGUGGGGAAUAUUGGACAAUGGGCGCAAGCCUGAUCCAGCCAUCCCGCGUGGGUGAAGAAGGCCUUCGGGUUGUAAAGCCCUUUCGUUGGGAAAGAAAAGCAGCAGGUUAAUACCCCGCUGUUCUGACGGUACCCAAAGAAUAAGCACCGGCUAACUUCGUG
rnacentral:rRNA from 1 species